CAAGACAGGAAAGAGAUAGAGUCAAUUAAAGGUGCGUUGUCCAGCAAGUUCCCACCUGGCUGGCUGAAGCCUAAUCCAACUGGGGAAGUUUGGGAAAUGGUGUAAGACACAGUCUCAAAUUUAUCACACCUAAGGGAGAGGGAUUUGGAGUAUUUAUAACUGCCAGCAGUCCUUGGUUGCAGUCUAUUCAGAAAGGUAUUAAUUCUCUUACGCUUAUGAUUUGCAAAGGAAAAGAAAGUCCUCAGACCAAAACAAUAACAGCAACAACCAAAAACUGUUUUCGUUUGGAAGGAGGACCAGAAGGAAGGAAUAAGGGUCAGGCACUGACUCUACAGAUACUCAGACUCAAAGCUCACUGGAGAGCAGAAUGAGUAUUCCAAAAAUGGCCAUCAUAUGUCUGGACCCAUAUUCUCUUCUAGAACAUUGCCCCUACUCCAUCAAGAAGUUGAGUGUAUGUACUUCUCUCUGAACCUGGGUUGCCUCUCAUAUCUCCUCAUCAUAUAUACCUCUUCAAAUUCAAUCGAGAUUUCAAUUCUUCUCACUUCUCCCCAACCUUACUUUGAUCUCCUGGUAAUUUUAG
rnacentral:lncRNA from 1 species